AGUGAACGCUGGCGGCAUGCCUAACACAUGCAAGUCGAACGGCAGCAUGAUCAGGUUUGCCAGAUUCAUGUCGCGUGGGGCAGGGGGGUGAAAUAUAUAUGAACUUCCCCUGUUGCGGGGGAGAACUAGUCGAAAGAUUAGCUAUAACAGCACAUGACCUGAACGGGAAAGUGCGGGAGCGCAAGGCACCUUGCCAGAGUAAUGGCGCCGGUGUCGGAUUAGCUAGUUGGAGGGGUAAGGGCACACCAAGGCGACGAAACGUAGCUGGUCUGAGAGGAUGAUCAGCCACACUGGAACUGAGACACGGUCCAGACUCCUACGGGAGGCAGCAGUGGGGAAUUUUGGGCAAUGGGCGAAAGCCUGAUCCAGCCAUGCCGCGUGUGUGAAGAAGGCCUUCGGGUUGUAAAGCCCUUUUGUUCGGAAAGAAAAGGUGCUGGUUAAUACCUGGGUUUGCUGACGGUACCGAAAGAAUAAGCACCGGCUAACUACGUG
rnacentral:rRNA from 1 species